rnacentral:rRNA from 1 species
AUACGAAGGGUGCAAGCGUUACUCGGAAUUACUGGGCGUAAAGCGUGCGUAGGUGGUUGUUUAAGUCUGUCGUGAAAGCCCUGGGCUCAACCUGGGAAUGGCGAUGGAAACUGGGCGACUAGAGUGUGGCAGAGGGUAGUGGAAUUCCUGGUGUAGCAGUGAAAUGCGUAGAGAUCAGGAGGAACAUCCGUGGCGAAGGCGACUGCCUGGGCCAACACUGACACUGAGGCACGAAAGCGUGGGGAGCAAACAGGAUUAGAUACCCUGGUAGUCCACGCCCUAAACGAUGCGAACUGGAUGUUGGGUGCAAUUUGGCACGCAGUAUCGAAGCUAACGCGUUAAGUUCGCCGCCUGGGGAGUACGGUCGCAAGACUGAAACUUAAAUGAAUUGACGGGG